UACGGGGGGGGCAAGCGUUGUUCGGAAUUACUGGGCGUAAAGGGCUCGUAGGCGGCCAACUAAGUCAGACGUGAAAUCCCUCGGCUUAACCGGGGAACUGCGUCUGAUACUGGAUGGCUUGAGUUUGGGAGAGGGAUGCGGAAUUCCAGGUGUAGCGGUGAAAUGCGUAGAUAUCUGGAGGAACACCGGUGGCGAAGGCGGCAUCCUGGACCAACACUGACGCUGAGUGAGCGAAAGCCAGGGGAGCAAAACGGGG
rnacentral:rRNA from 1 species